UCGCACGUGGAUCUCCCGUGGCCCUCGGGGAUGUUUCCUGAGCAUCAGCAGGGAAAGCAGCCCCGCCUCUCAAUUCGGCUGAUGCUGUCUGAUUCAGAGCACGACCAAGGCCCAGUUCCUGGUGAUCCUGUGUCCUUCGGUGACUGCCUUUACCUUGUCCAUUGAUCGUUUACACCUAAGCUGCUGGCCCUGGAACCUAUUGGUGGCACCAUGAGGGACAGCCGCCACCCGUGACUGGAAGGGACACGCGUAAAGCCAGGCAGAGAUGAAGUCGUCUGAAAUGGGAACCGUUUUUGCUCACCUUUCUGAUGUUUGUGCAUGUCCACAGCACCCUGCACGCCCUGGCUGGAGGAACUCGAGCACUGAUGAGCUCCUUCCCGAGAACCAUUUCCAGCUCCUGGCACCGGGCCACAAAUAACAGCCUUCUGCCUCCGGGAAUUGCUCCUGGCUGUCAGUCCUCCCACGGGCAGGGAACCGUCGCUGUCCAGCACCGUGCACAUCCAGAGAUGGGAGGUACAGCCUGCACGAGCUGGUAAAAGGCAUGCCGAGGUGUCCAGCGCAAGGCACAGGGGCUUGCCCAAGGCUGCUGGGCUGCGUGCUCCUGCAGAUGAAGGAGAUGGGUCGUUUUCGAAGCUCCAGGCACCGAUGUGAAAUAUUUUGGCAUCAGUGGGGUGUAUCCUACUGCCAGGCAGUGGAAAUGGGCAAGCCGUGGUGUGCCUGUGUAGGGGAUGAGGGACCCUGGCAGAGCCCAAACCUCUCAGUGCAGUCGGUGCUUUUGGGCCAAGGGAAGGGGCCGCCAAGUCAUGCUCCUCUGCAGGGAGCGGAGCAGCGUCCUGCAGAUGUUUGGCCCGGGCUGGAUCUGUCCACGUUCCGCCAGCCAUCGCAAGCUGCUUAGCUGGGCCCAUGUUCCCUUCCUCGCUCUGCUAAGUAGCUCCUGGAGCAGCUCUGGGAAAUUAAAGCCUCAAGUUUUGGUGGCAA